rnacentral:rRNA from 1 species
GAUGAACGCUGGCGGAGUGCCUAACACAUGCAAGUCGAGCGGCAGCGCGAGUAGUUUACUACUUGGCGGCGAGCGGCGGACGGCUGAGUAACGCGUGGGAACAUGCCCCAAAGUGAGGAAUAACUGCCCGAAAGGGUAGCUAAUGCCGCAUAUGAUCUUCGGAUUAAAGGAUUUAUCCGCUUUGGGAGUGGCCUGCGUACGAUUAGAUAGUUGGUGAGGUAAAGGCUCACCAAGUCGACGAUCGUUAACUGGUUUGAGAGGAUGAUCAGUCAGACUGGAACUGAGACACGGUCCAGACUCCUACGGGAGGCAGCAGUGAGGAAUCUUCCACAAUGGGCGAAAGCCUGAUGGAGCAACGCCGCGUGCAGGAUGAAGGCCUUCGGGUUGUAAACUGCUUUUAUGAGUGAAGAAUAUGACGGUAACUCAUGAAUAAGGGUCGGCUAACUACGUG